UAAAAAAAUUUCAACUGAUUAAAUUCUUAAAACCGCAGAGAUAAUUUUCAAAUUGACAAAAUUCGUUACCCCAAAAAUUCAUUCGACGAUUGCAAACGCUCAAAGCCACUUCGUAUUUGUUCCAUCUAUAGUUCGAAAGUAUUUUCAAAUAAGUUUUAGGGUGUGUGGCUUUGAUGCUAAUUUCUUUUCAACCCCAGCAAACCACAGUAUUUUGCGAGUCUAGCACAGCGUACGAAUCAAUAUUUAUGCACUACCCAGUCCCCACAUCAACAUCCACUUCCAAGGAAUUAUUUCCAAAGCCAUGACUUUGGACAUCUGGCGUUUCGAUUCCCAACAAUCCCAACAUAUAUCUAGAGAACAUGGAUCUUCUCGAACUCUGCAAGCCAUCUACAGAGGAUAAAACAACAAGAUUCCCAAAUUGAGGAAACUCGAAAAAAACAAAAUAUACCUACCACAAAAUGGGUAAGAUACAUAUUACCAUUCCAUGCAAUACGAGUCCAACGCCUCCAUACGAAGAAAAUUGUGUAUACCGAGGGAUCAGAAAAACGUCUAUUUACCAUCUAAAAAGAAAAAAAAUUGUAAAAUCUUAAUGACAUGUUAGAAUUGUAUUUCACUCGUUGACAUCAUGUUUGUUGGAUCCGGGACUCCAUCUAAACCGGGAAAAAAAGAUUAUGCAGCCAAAA